rnacentral:rRNA from 1 species
ACGCCUAGCAGCUAGCCCGCUCAAACAAAAACAACACAUAAAUACUCAUAACCCCUAAUACACCCAACAACCAAACUAAAUCAUUCUUCCCCCUAAGUAUAGGAGAUAGAAAAGGAACCAGGCGCGAUAGAAAAAGUACCGCAAGGGAACGCUGAAAGAGAAAUGAAAUAAUUCAGUAAAGCACAACAAAGCAGAGUUUUAUCCUCGUACCUUUUGCAUCAUGUUUUAGCUAGAGCCACUCAAGCAAAAAGCAUUUUAGUUUGAAUACCCGAAACUAGGCGAGCUACUCCAAGACAGCCUGACAACAGGGCCAACCCGUCUCUGUGGCAAAAGAGUGGGAAGAGCUUCGAGUAGAGGUGACAGACCUACCGAGCCUAGUUAUAGCUGGUUACCUGAAAAUUGAAUAGGAGUUCAGCCUCUUGAAUUCUUUCUUCCUUAAUAGUUGUUCUUAAUUAAGACACAAAGAAAUCUAGAGAGUUAGUCAAAGGGGGUACAGCCCCUUUGAAACAAGACACAACUUUACCCAGGAGGCUAAGGAUCAAGCUCAACCAAGGCACAAUAUUUUGGUGGGCCUAAUAGCAGCCACCCCAAACAGAAAGCGUUAAAGCUCAAAUAUACCACAAGCCCCUAAUCCUGAUUAUUUUUCCAACGCCCCUAACCCUAUCAGGUCUUCCUAUAAUUACAUAUAGGAGCGACUAUGCUAGUAUGAGUAACAAGAGAGCCCUGACUCUCUCCGUACACAAGUGUAAUUCGGAACGGACCCCCCACCGAGCAUUAACGGCCCCAAAAAAAGAGGGAACCGGACCAUAAACAAAAAACUAGAAACCCACCCAAAAGAUACCGUUAACCCCACACUGGUGUGUCCCCACGGAAAGACUAAAAGAAAAAGAAGGAACUCGGCAAAAAUUCCUCGAGCCUCGCCUGUUUACCAAAAACAUCGCCUCUUGUCAAACAAGAAUAAGAGGUCUCGCCUGCCCUGUGACUAUAAGUUUAACGGCCGCGGUAUUUUAACCGUGCGAAGGUAGCGCAAUCACUUGUCUUUUAAAUGAAGACCCGUAUGAAUGGCACGACGAGGGCUUAACUGUCUCCUUUUUCUAGUCAAUGAAAUUGAUCUCCCCGUGCAGAAGCGGGGAUAAACCCAUAAGACGAGAAGACCCUGUGGAGCUUUAGACAAAAGAACAGACCAUGUCAAAAAUCCCCCGGAUAAGGGAAAGAACUAAUUAGACCCUGUUCUAAUGUCUUUGGUUGGGGCGACCACGGGGAAACGAAAAUCCCCCAUGUGGAAUGGAACCACACACACACCUUCUACAACCGAGAGUUACAACUCUAAGCAACAGAAAUUCUGACCAUAAUGAUCCGGCACCGCCGAUCAACGGAACGAGUUACCCCAGGGAUAACAGCGCAAUCCUCUUUUAGAGCCCAUAUCGACAAGGGGGUUUACGACCUCGAUGUUGGAUCAGGACAUCCUAAUGGUGCAGCCGCUAUUAAGGGUUCGUUUGUUCAACGAUUAAAGUCCUACGUGAUCUGAGUUCAGACCGGAGUAAUCCAGGUCGGUUUCUAUCUAUGAAAUGAUCUCUUCUAGUACGAAAGGACCGAAGAGAGGAGGCCCAUGCUCUAAGUACGCCUCAUCCCCACCUAAUGCAGCCAACUAAACUAGGCAAGAGGACAUACCUCUUAUGCCUUAGAUAAUGGCAAA